UACGUAGGGUGCAAGCGUUGUCCGGAAUUAUUGGGCGUAAAGCGCUCGCAGGCGGCCUGGCCAAGUCGUGCGUGAAAUCUCCCGGCUCAACUGGGAGCGGUCGUGCGAUACUGGUCGGCUCGAGGCCGGUAGGGGGGAGUGGAAUUCCGGGUGUAGUGGUGGAAUGCGCAGAUAUCGGGAAGAACACCCAUGGCGAAGGCAGCUCUCUGGGACGGUACUGACGCUGAGACGCGAAAGCAUGGGGAGCGAACAGG
rnacentral:rRNA from 1 species